CUGCCGUAUUCAGUCCUCAAGGGAACCACCUUCUGGGCUAAAGGUGAAGGUUUUUCUGCUUCUAUCCCUCAUCAUAAUGACCCAAACUCCUUUGCAUACAAAUAGAUGGCCCAUUUCUAUUUUUUAAAAAUAAACUUCCAUAUUCUGUUCUAUUUCAUCAUGAUGAUUUUCUAGCUCCUUUGUGCUGAUACAGACAUGUAUUAGUGCAACAGCCAAAAACGAUGAGUCAUUUGACAGUGAACCAGAUGUGGAGAGGUAAUCUGCAUGUCUUUACUAACAGAGCGCAUCCAAAUAACCAUACUCACUUUGUAUUUUCCUUUCAUGGUGUCGUCGCCAGCAGAGGCCUGGAAAUAUCCCGCAUCCAACCACCGAGGACGACUGUGUUCUGCGACAUCAAGAAUCUGGCACACGCGCACGGUGCAAGCUCCAGGACAUCAAACAUGGAAGGAUGGGGUCCUCCUGAUAACUGAGUUCCCUGAAGUUUGUGUCUCUCGGACUGGUCCACACUGAGCCUCCAGUAAUGCAUCAGUGACAGACAGCUCCAGUUUCCUUUCCGGACACUGGUUCCCAUGGAGGCAUCUGCUUUGACUGACAGCAGCUAUAAUUAUCAGUGGAAGAUUUAAUUCAUGGAGGAAUCUGUAUGUAUAUAAGGUGUGUUAGGAGGACGCAACGAGACGGCGUCCGGGAAAGCGUUCUGUUCCCUGAUGCGCAGGUAAGUCCGCCCGGCUUUAUCAUUUCCUCCAGCAGACUGAGCUCGCAGGAGAUGUUAAAUCUAAAUGCGGUUCGAGGCAGAGGGAAACAAAGGAAGAAUCAAGUUCUGUUAGGACCCGUGAAGUCUCUGUUCCCCUUUCUCCUCAAAAUCCAAACCUCAAGCCUGAAUCCGCAGUAAUAACCCUUAAAACUAAAGGGUGAACUGUGGUCGGUGCGUUCCCGCCU